GCGGAAGCUCCGCAACACGCUGUCGGUCAGCUUCAUGGCGGCGGGUGGGGAAGGCAGCCGGGACUGGCAGCGGGCGGGCUGCUGAGGGGCCAACCCCUGGUGGCGGCGGUGUUGAGCCGGUGGCUAGCGAGAAGUCGGCCGGCAGUGGGGCCGCCUCCUUUUCUUCCUCCUGCUUGGACGACUGUCUUCCGCCUCAACUGUGGAGCCUCGCCGACCGUUAGUCCUCACAGACACCUCAGGGGCAACCGACGCAGCGCCACCUCAUCGUGUCCGCCAUCUUGGGGCGACGGCCAGAAGUCCAGGGCUAGGAGCCUCAGCCGGCGGACGCCAGGAAACAGCAGUUACUGAUGCUACAAUAUUCCUUUAUGAAGCCAAGAACUGAACCAAAAUACAAACAACAUAAACUACCACUUGAUGAGAAGAACUUCAAAGUCAAAUUGCAAAAGGUGACUAAAAAAGGGGAGUACUUUCAGCCGUUUUCAAAAUAAUCUAUGAUAUGUACUGGAAAACUUCUAAUAAUCCUUGUCAUUUUACAACUUUCCCACAGUUAGAUCAUCAGCAAAUGUCACUUGGAUCCCUAGCUAAAUUGUUCUUCCCAGAAAAUAGUUAUCUCCACUAUGGAAAGUAUUUUAUCAGAAGAAUUCGUAGAAGUAGAAUCUGUUUGUCUUCAGUUAAACAAAAGAAGAACCUCAUUGCUUUCCAACUGGGCCCCGGCCAUUUUCCAGUUGAAACAUCAAAUAUUUUAUUUGUGUCUUUCACUGCCAAUUAAAGGGCAACAGAAAUGGUACAGAAAUAUCUGAAUGAAAUGCUCAUGAAAGGAUUAAGAAAGUCUGCAGUUGAGCCUGGAGCCAGCAAAAGACAUCAUCACUAAAAGUAUAUGCAUGACCCGCAUUUGUUGCCUUUAUGGUCCUUACCCAAGAUAUUUGAAUUCACCAGAAUGGUCUUAAUAUGGUAUUGUAAGUACCUGGAUCUGAAAACCAUUAAGUAUGAGAGUGCGCUGUAUUGGUGAUGCCAGUUUGUGGACUCCUUAUGUAAAUAAAUGAAGGACAAGUUAAAAA
rnacentral:lncRNA from 1 species